rnacentral:lncRNA from 1 species
GACAUCUUCAGGGUUGCAGUAAAUCACUCUGCCUGCCACAGCCCCAGGGGACUACUGAAAGACAAGAGGGCUACAGCUGAUUUUCACACCCUUGACUUCUCAACUGCCAUAACUUCUGCACAUGGCACCUGGCAAGGGGGAAUAACUGGAAGACUGCCUGAGCCUCCAGAUCUGCCACUCUUCAGAUCACAGCUGAAAAAGCUGCCAAAGUGGUCACUUGGAAAGCACAUCACUACCACAUCCCCAGGUCUCGAUCAUGGUAAUAAUGUGAAGAUUUACACCAGCUGAAAAUUUUGAUGCAUGUCUCCUCAAAGCUAAUUUAAUUUUACUCCAGAAGGAUUCGUAUUCAUUCCAGUUCCCUCAAAUAUUAUGUGCAUAAAUUAAGAAGCACUGUUCAGAAGAUGGAGCUCUGGGAGUCACCUGUAUAACUCAGCAGCCUUGAAAGACACAGAUUGUACAGAGCUCAGAGAAUAAGAAACAAGUAUUGACAUUUUGAUUAU